GCUAAUUACCUUAUUUGUGCUCCAUUUGCAACCCAGAGGCAUGCGUAUGGGCCAAAUGUUGUCCCACCAGGUAUCGUGAGGGUGGGUACGUUCCACCACUCAUGUACCUGAUAUCCAUGAGUGCCAUCAGUUAGGCCCGCCAUGUGGGCCCUAGCAUUUCUCCUGUAUAAAAAUACUACAUCCAUCCAUCCCACGAUGGAACCCUAAAUCAAUCCACAUUCGACUCCUCUGUCCUCUCCUAGCUGCCACCAACCCUUCUCCCUUCUCCCAGCCUCUCCCUCUUCCCCAAAUCGUCCUCCUACCAUCAUUCACCACCCCUCCACGAAGAUGGUGCCGCAUAGCCUCGACCAUGUAGAUCUGUUAUCCGCUCAUCCCUAUCACCCUCACCCAUCAUCACCGCAUCUCGCCUCGUCGCUCUUGCUGCCGAAUCAACUGUGGGGACUACGAUGGUGUGCCGCUUAGAGGCCAAGCCCUACUGGUCAGCUACUCGUGCGUCGCGACGGCCUCCUCCAGAUCCACCCCUCUGCACGACCAUGAUUGACUCUGGUGAGAUCCGACAUCACUUUUGCCUCUCAACUCACAAGAUAAUCAUAGGCCAUGCCAUGGCCAAAAUCUCCCUCUCACCACCGUGAUUUCUCUCUCGGCGUUCUUCCCGUACCAUGUUCUGGGUUGUUCGUUCCUUCCUGCCGAGAGAUCGAUUCCGAGUUAUUGUUGUUUUGUUUGCGGUGGUCAUCUCUUUCGGUGUGCGUCUGUUUUUGUUUUGCCUGGAGCAGAGUUUAUCUAAUCUUCAGGUCGCCGGUGCUCCGUCUGGUUUUUGCUUGCUUUACUGUCUCAUCUCACUGUUGGAUUCAUUUUACCAAUCUUUCCCGGUUUGGUUGCCGGCCGCAAAUUCUUUCCUUUUUCCCCACUCGGUGGCUGUUGUGACUGAUUUCGGAGUUUCCUUUCAAUUUUGUUCUCUUUUAGUAGAAUUUCUGUUUGGUCUGACUUCGCAGCGGCAACAUGAUCAUGGCGAAAGAUUCAUGCUUUUGCCCAAUUGUUUCUGUACGGAUUUCUGUCGAACAGAUCUUCUAAUGUUCGGGGUUCGCAAUUCAAUUUCUCAGUUUGUAGACAUUGUUGCUUUUUGGAACUGAUUUUGGUUUAGAUAGAAUUCUCGCGAUGAGGGGUAGAAUUUCUUUGCUAUUUGUUUCAAUAUCUAUCAGUGUUUGAAGUGGUUCUCAUACUCGCUAACGUUGUCUGUGGAUUGUCUGAUUUUCAUUUUCCAUGCAGGUACCACAGGAUCUACCCGGAAUCCGUCCGAGUCCCCAAUGGCAGCGGCAGCGGCAUCGGAGCCACCAGGAAGCUAGCAGAACACGCUGUCACCCACACCAAGCAUGCACAAGCGUGACGGCGCCCCAGCCGUGGAUGCCGACAGGUCGAGCCUCACGUCCUACCUCGCCUGCACCUCGCUCAAGCAGCACGAGCCACAAGGGCGUCCGUCGUCCUCAUCUGCUGCCAUCAUGAGGGACCACCAACUGUAUAACGCCGUCGCCCUCUCCUCCCAGGGACUCAACCUCGG
rnacentral:lncRNA from 1 species